rnacentral:rRNA from 1 species
UGAGAGAAGGGAUGACACAGUAGGAUAAGCUAAGCACACUGUUGGUUAUGUGUGCCCAAGCAUUGAGGCAGUCAAAGCAGGCAAAUCCGCUUUGAUAAUGCUGGGAUGUGAUGGGGAGCGAAAUUUAGUAGCGAAGUAGCUGAUUUCACACUGUCAAGAAAAGUCUCUAUCGAGGUUAAAGGUACCCGUACCGCAAACCGACACAGGUGGGUGAGGAGAGUAUCCUAAGGCCAGCGAGAGAACUGUUGUUAAGGAACUCGGCAAAAUGACCCCGUAACUUAGGGAUAAGGGGUGCCACCAUCCGGUGGCCGCAGAGAAUAGGCCCAAGCGACUGUUUACCAAAAACAUAGGUUUCUGCUAAGUCGCAAGACGAUGUAUAGGAGCUGACGCCUGCCCGGUGCUGGAAGGUUAAGGGGAUCUGUUAGAGCAAUCGAAGCAGUGAACUUAAGCCCCAGUAAACGGCGGCCGUAACUAUAACGGUCCUAAGGUAGCGAAAUUCCUUGUCGGGUAAGUUCCGACCCGCACGAAAGGCGUAACGAUUUGGGCACUGUCUCAACAACAGACUCGGUGAAAUUGUAAUUCCGGUGAAGAUGCCGGAUACCUGCGACAGGACGGAAAGACCCCAUGGAGCUUUACUGUAGCUUGACAUUGGGUCUUGGUACUACAUGUACAGGAUAGGUGGGAGGCUUUGAAACCAGGACGCCAGUUUUGGCGGAGCCAUCCUUGGGAUACCACCCUUGUAGUACUGGGACUCUAACCAUAGGCCAUGAAUCUGGUCUUGGGACACUGUCAGGUGGGCAGUUUGACUGGGGCGGUCGCCUCCCAAAAGGUAACGGAGGCGCUCAAAGGUUCUCUCAGUACGGUCGGAAAUCGUACGUAGAGUGUAAAGGCAAAAGAGAGCUUGAUUGCAAGACAUACAGGUCGAGCAAGGAUGAAAAUCGGACUUAGUGAUCCGGUGGUUCUGCGUGGAAGGGCCAUCGCUCAACGGAUAAAAGCUACCCUGGGGAUAACAGGCUUAUCUCCCCCAAGAGUCCACAUCGACGGGGAGGUUUGGCACCUCGAUGUCGGCUCAUCACAUCCUGGGGCUGUAGUAGGUCCCAAGGGUUGGGCUGUUCGCCCAUUAAAGUGGUACGCGAGCUGGGUUCAGAACGUCGUGAGACAGUUCGGUCCCUAUCCGUCGCAGGCGUAGGAAAUUUGAGAAGACCUGUCCUUAGUACGAGAGGACCGGGAUGGACGUACCUCUGGUGUACCAGUUGUUCUGCCAAGGGCAUGGCUGGGUAGCUAUGUACGGAAUGGAUAAGCGCUGAAAGCAUCUAAGCGCGAAGCCAACUUCAAGAUAAGAUUUCCCACCGCAAGGGUAAGACCCCAGAAAGACUAUCUGGUUGAUAGGUCGAAG